CUACGGGUUGCACCAGUAAGGAAUAUUGCGCAAUGGAGGCAACUCUGACGCAGCCAUGCCGCGUGCAGGAAGAAGGCCUUAUGGGUCGUAAACUGCUUUUAUUUAGGAAUAAACCCCCGCUCGUGAGCGAGGCUGAAGGUACUGAAUGAAUAAGCACCGGCUAACUCCGUGCCAGCAGCCGCGGUAAUACGGAGGGUGCAAGCGUUAUCCGGAUUUAUUGGGUUUAAAGGGUGCGCAGGCGGGCUAUUAAGUCAGUGGUGAAAUCCCGGGGCUCAACUCCGGAACUGCCAUUGAUACUGAUAGUCUUGAGUUUGGUUGAAGUGGGCGGAAUGUAGCAUGUAGCGGUGAAAUGCAUAGAUAUGCUACAGAACACCAAUCGCGAAGGCAGCUCACUAAGCCAAAACUGACGCUCAUGCACGAAAGCGUGGGGAUCAAACAGGAUUAGAUACCCCUGUAGUC
rnacentral:rRNA from 1 species